AUACUUACCUGGCAGGAGAGAUACCAUGAUCACGAAGGUGGUUUUCUCAGGGUGAGGCUUAUCCAUUGCACUCUGGAUGUGCUGACCCCUGCGAUUUCCCCAAAUGUGGGAAACCCGACUGCAUAAUUUGUGGUAGUGGGGGACUGCGUUCGCGCUCUCCUCUG
rnacentral:snRNA from 1 species